UACCCUUGACAUGUACGGAACCUCGCAGAGAUGCGAGGGUGCCCGAAAGGGAGCCGUAACACAGGUGCUGCAUGGCUGUCGUCAGCUCGUGUCGUGAGAUGUUGGGUUAAGUCCCGCAACGAGCGCAACCCUUGUCAUUAGUUGCUACAUUCAGUUGGGCACUCUAAUGAGACUGCCGGUGACAAACCGGAGGAAGGUGGGGAUGACGUCGAGGAACACCAAC
rnacentral:misc_RNA from 1 species